GGUUGGUUGGCACAAAGACUGGUUAGUGCGUUCGGCUGAUAACCGGAAGGUCGGGGGUUCAAAUCCCCUCCGGACCA
rnacentral:tRNA from 1 species